UUCCACCUCUUCCCAUUCCGAACAGAGAAGUUAAGCCUGAUCACGCCGAUGGUACUGCGUAACAGUGGGAGAGUAGGUAGUCGCCGUUUU
rnacentral:rRNA from 1 species